GGAAAGAUGUCCGAGUGGUUUAAGGUACACGCUUGGAAGGCGUGCAUAGGCGAAAGUCUAUCGGGGGUUCGAAUCCCCCUCUUUCCG
rnacentral:tRNA from 1 species